UACGUAGGGCGCAAGCGUUGUCCGGAAUUAUUGGGCGUAAAGAGCUCGUAGGCGGUUUGUCGCGUCUGCUGUGAAAACCUAAGGCUCAACCUUGGGCUUGCAGUGGGUACGGGCAGACUAGAGUGCGGUAGGGGUGACUGGAAUUCCUGGUGUAGCGGUGGAAUGCGCAGAUAUCAGGAGGAACACCGAUGGCGAAGGCAGGUCACUGGGCCGCAACUGACGCUGGAGGAAGCGAAAGCAUGGGGAGCGAA
rnacentral:rRNA from 1 species